UUCCGGUUGAUCCUGCCGGACCCACUGCUAUCGGGGUGGGACUAAAACAUGCGAGUUGAGCGUCUUCAGGCCAUGGUGAAGGCGCGGCGAACGGCUCAGUAACACGUGGAUAACCUACCCUUUGGACGGGGACAACCACGGGAAACUGGGGCUAAUCCCAGAUAGGUGAGGAGGCCUGGAAUGGUUUCUCAUCCAAAAGGCGUUUAGACCAUGCUUCUAGGCGUCGCCAAAGGAUGGGACCGCGGCCGAUCAGGUUGUUGGUGAGGUAACGGCUCACCAAGCCUAUAACCGGUACGGGCCGUGAGAGUGGGAGCCCGGAGAUGGGCACUGAGACAAGGGCCCAGGCCCUACGGGGCGCAGCAGUUGCGAAACCUCCACAAUGCACGAAAGUGUGAUGGGGCUAACCCGAGUGCCGUCCGCUGAGGAUGGCUUUUCUCCGCUGUAAGGAGGCGGAGGAAUAAGGAGAGGGCAUGACUGGUGUCAGCCGCCGCGGUAAUACCAGCUCUCCGAGUGGUAGGGAUGAUUAUUGGGCUUAAAGCGUUCGUAGCCGGCCUGGCAAGUCUCUCGUUAAAUCCAGCGACCUAAUCGCUGGGCUGCGGGAGAUACUGUUGGGCUUGGGAGCGGGAGAGGCCGACGGUAUUCUCGGGGUAGGGGUGAAAUCCUGUAAUCCCGGGAGGACCACCAGUGGCGAAGGCUGUCGGCUAGAACGCGUCCGACGGUGAGGGACGAAAGCUGGGGGAGCGAACCGGAUUAGAUACCCGGGUAGUCCCAGCUGUAAACUAUGCGGGCUAGGUGUCGGUGUGGCUACGAGCCACUCCGGUGCCGCAGGGAAACUCAUAAGCCCGCCGCCUGGGAAGUACGGUCGCAAGGCUGAAACUUAAAGGAAUUGGCGGGGGAGCAC
rnacentral:rRNA from 1 species